CAUGGGCAUAAUCAACAGAAAAUGGAUUUGGCUUAUUUUUUCCCCUUUUCUUCCCCUCUGUAUCUGAAGUUUUUGGUGCUGCACAACAAUUACCCAUGAGACGAAUUUUUAAAACCCAACUUCUUCAAAAAUUUCAGCCAAAGGGGUCUCAAGAUCCUAACUUUCCCACCAAACUAAUACAACAAAUUCUUCAAAAUCCAAGAUCUUCAAAAGUUCCAGCCAAAAAGGUCUCAAGAUGAUAACUUUUUCAUCAAACAAAUACAACAAAAAGCUUCAAUUCUCACAGGUAAGCUCCAAACUUGACCAAGCUUAUCUUCACCUAAAAGGGUCUCAAAAUUUUGCCUUUCCCCACCAAAUCAGCAAAAAAAUUCUCAACUUUCACAGAUAAAGCUCCAAUUUUUACUGUGCUGAUCUCCACCCAAAAGAGUCUCAAGAUUGCCACUAGGCACUAGUCAAACAGCAAUCAAGAUCCAACUUUGCUAAGUGAUUUACAGAGAAUCAAGAAAAGCGGCAAGUGGGGUUCCUUGGAAUCUGAAAAACUUCAAAAUCUCAGAUCUCCAAAAACCCAAUUGGGUUUUCAAACUUUCAGGUAAAAGGGGGCAAUAAACCCUAAGGUUCUUGAAAGGAGGAUUUUAAGAAAUGAAAUGGGGAGAUUUUGUGGAUGAAGAAGAGGAUGUGAAUAGGAAUUUAACGUUUGAAGAAACUCAAUAUAAACAAGAGAGGAGUGAGAGAGCAAUGGUCA
rnacentral:lncRNA from 1 species